rnacentral:rRNA from 1 species
UACAGAGGUCUCAAGCGUUGUUCGGAUUCAUUGGGUGUAAAGGGCGCGUAGGCGGCGGGGUAAGUCGGGUGUGAAAUCUCAGGGCUCAACCCUGAAACUGCACUCGAUACUGCUCUGCUUGAGGACUGGAGAGGAGACUGGAAUUCACGGUGUAGCAGUGAAAUGCGUAGAUAUCGUGAGGAAGACCAGUGGCGAAGGCGGGUCUCUGGACAGUUCCGUGACGCUGAGGCACGAAGGUCAGGGAGCAAACGGG